rnacentral:rRNA from 2 species
AGAGUUUGAUCCUGGCUCAGGAUGAACGCUGGCGGUCUGCUUAACACAUGCAAGUCGAACGCACCGCAAGGUGAGUGGCAGACGGGUGAGUAACGCGUGGGAACGUGCCCUUCAGUUCGGGAUAACCCAGGGAAACUUGGGCUAAUACCGGAUACGUGCGAGAGCAGAAAGAUUCAUCGCUGAAGGAUCGGCCCGCGUCUGAUUAGCUAGUUGGUAGGGUAAUGGCCUACCAAGGCGACGAUCAGUAGCUGGUCUGAGAGGAUGAUCAGCCACAUUGGGACUGAGACACGGCCCAAACUCCUACGGGAGGCAGCAGUGGGGAAUAUUGGACAAUGGGCGCAAGCCUGAUCCAGCCAUGCCGCGUGAGUGAUGAAGGCCUUAGGGUUGUAAAGCUCUUUCGUCCGGGACGAUAAUGACGGUACCGGAAGAAGAAGCCCCGGCUAACUUCGUGCCAGCAGCCGCGGUAAUACGAAGGGGGCUAGCGUUGUUCGGAAUCACUGGGCGUAAAGGGCGCGUAGGCGGCCUGAUAAGUCGGGGGUGAAAGCCUGUGGCUCAACCACAGAAUUGCCUUCGAUACUGUCGGGCUUGAGACCGGAAGAGGUAAGUGGAACUGCGAGUGUAGAGGUGAAAUUCGUAGAUAUUCGCAAGAACACCAGUGGCGAAGGCGGCUUACUGGUCCGGUUCUGACGCUGAGGCGCGAAAGCGUGGGGAGCAAACAGGAUUAGAUACCCCGGUAGUCC